UUCUUCUGUUCCUCCUCCUUGCUUGCUUGUGCUUUUGGCGAUGAUGGCGCAUGGCCUUCCUGUCUCUCUUGUCGCCAUCCGCUUCGCUGGAUGGCUUCUUUUUCCUUGUCGUUUGUACCCGCCUUUCUCGUGAGCGCAUAUCCCUUAACCAUCGAGCGUCUCUCUUUUGCCACCUGCUCUUGUGCGCCUGCACACAAGCACACGUGUGUGUGUGUGUGUGUGUGUGUGUGUGUGUGUGUGUGCGAAAGCCACGAAACGUACGCUGGAAUCGGAUUUGGGGUUUCGUUGAAACAUAGGGGGAGGACAGGUCUAGCGUCCAUUGUGCCCGUCUGUUUUAUCGGCCUUGUGUGCGGGUGUCUGCUGUUGCGUGUGCAUGUCCGAGCCCCGUACUCGCCGUUUGGGCCCUUGUGGGAUGCGCCUCCCUUGCCUGCUCCCUCCCUCUAUGAAGCGCCAGCUCCGCUGGAUAACAACAACCAAGUAGAGGAACAAAACCACUUCUGCUCCAUCUGAACGUCACAAUUGCUUCGUGGGAGUCAGCACCUCUGCCCGGCAUCAGCCUCCCCUCCCCCUGCCUUCAUCGUAUGAUGGGGGAAGGAGGUGGGGGCGCUCGCCGUGAGCCACGACCUAUACACGCGAUACGACGCGCACGUCGCCCACGGAAAAUAUGCGGCUCCUUCCCCCACUUUACCUCUCUCGUGAAACGCACACACCUCUGUCAUCAUCCGCCACCCACCUGCCCACCCCCCACCAG
rnacentral:misc_RNA from 1 species